UGAGAGAGGCCAGCGAGGUUGAGCGUGAUUGACGGUGAGGACGCGUUUGAGAGGCGAGAGAGAGAGUGAGUACGAUUAUCUUUUCUGGGUUCGUGUUACAGUACCCCUUCACUUUUUUCUUUUUUCUUCCUUUUAUUCAUUUUCUUUUUAAUUUGUUAGAAAAACCAACUUUAAAACCAUAAAGAUUUCACGUUUAGUCUUCCUGUAUCUUUUAUUUAAUAGUGUAUUAAUGUUUUUUGUAUUCCCCAAUCCAUUAACCUCUAGAACCCAACAACCAGGCGGCUGGGUUUCUUUUGGGUAAUCCAACAGAUCUUUUUAUUAUUAUUUUAGUUUUUUUUUAAUACUUUUGUUCCAAUCCUUUCUGGUUUAUAUACCCAAGUGGUUGUUGUAAAUAAUAACUAAUCAUAAAUGGCCUAGUGGAGAGAGGGUAGUUUCAUAGUCUUUAGGGGAGUGGGUUCAAUACCUAUAUGUAGCAUUUUAUUUCUUUUAGCAUUCAUUUUUAUUUUAUGUUUAUGUUUUAUUAUAAUUACUCCUAUACUCAUAGUUUCAUUAUUGUUUAAUAACACAAAUUUGAUUUCUUUUAAUUUCAUCAUCCAUUCAAAAUCGCUUUAAACUAUUAAAAUCACACUUUUCUCGAUUCAAUGUCGAGCCCAUUUCCAUACCCUUGUAAGUCGAUUGCUUUUAAGCAUCGCCAUCAACCUCAC
rnacentral:lncRNA from 1 species